GUGCCAGCAGCCGCGGUAAGACGAGGGGUCCAAGCGUUGUUCGGAAUUAUUGGGCGUAAAGCGGGUGUAGGUGGCUCUAUAAGUCAGGAGUGAAAUCCCCGAGCUUAACUCGGGAAGUGCUUUUGAUACUGCAGAGCUUGAAUGUGGGAGAGGAUAAUAGAAUUCCAGGUGUAGUGGUGAAAUACGUAGAUAUCUGGAGGAAUACCGGUGGCGAAGGCGGUUAUCUGGCCCAACAUUGACACUGAGACCCGAAAGCGUGGGGAUCAAACAGGAUUAGAAACCCUCGUAGUCC
rnacentral:rRNA from 1 species